AGGACGAACGCUGGCGGCGUGCUUAAUACAUGCAAGUCACGGGGGCCCGCAAGGGCAACCGGCGAACGGGUGCGUAACACGUGAGCAACCUGCCUAUCUGCGGGGGAUAGCCGGCCCAACGGCCGGGUAAUACCGCAUACGUUCACGAGGGACAUCCCCUUGUGAGGAAGACUCCGGUGCAGAUAGAGGGCUCGCGGCCUAUCAGCUAGUUGGUGAGGUAACGGCUCACCAAGGCGACGACGGGUAGCUGGUACUGAGAGGAUGGCCAGCCACAGUUGGACUGCGACACGGCCCAGACU
rnacentral:rRNA from 1 species